UAUUAUUACUAGAGAUGGAGUUUCACCACCUUGACCAGGCUGGUCUGGAACUCCUGACCUCAAGUGAUCUGGCUCUCGGCUUCCCACAGUGCUGGGAUUACAGGCGUGAGCCACCACACCCGGCCCUGACAUUUACCUGUUAACUGACAAUUCCAUACAGCUUACUGUGAUUAGGGAAAUACUUAGAUUUGUUUCCACCAUUAAUUUGCUCAGUUUUGUGUCUGAUUUUUUUGAGAGGGGGUCUCACUCUGUUGCCCAGGCUGGAGUGUAGCGGCGUGAAUGCCUACAGCUCACUGCAGUUUUGACCUCCCAGGCUCAGAUGAUCCUCCCACCUCAGCCUCCCUAGUGGCUGGAACUACAGGCAUGCUCCACCAUGCCCGCCUUAUUUUUUUGUAGAGAUGGGGCCCUAUGUUGCCCAGGCUGGUUUCAAACUCCUGGGCUUAAGCCAUCCACCCACCUUGGCCUCCCAAAAUGCUAGGAUUACAGGCGUGAGCCACUGCGCUAAGGCCCAGCCUGAUUUCUUAUUUUUUAAUUGACAGGAGUUUCUGCUCAUUUAUUUAUUUAUUUUAUGGGGUCUCACUGUGGUCCAGGCUGGAGUACAGUGCCCAAUCAUAGCUCACUGUUGCCUCAAACUCCCGGUCUGAGGAUCCAAACUCAGAUCCUCCUGCCUCAGUCUCCCAAGCAGCUGGGACUACAUUUGAAAUUACAGCGUGUUUUUUUUGUUAUUCGAUUGGAGAUGUAUAGACUGGUUACACUCUUUUAGUAAUUAACAUUAAAUUACAGUAUGCACAUUUAACUAUCUUACAUCCUCUUCCCAACAACAGGAGGGUCUUAGAACAUUUCCAUCCCUUCUAAUUUACACGCUCCUGCUGUCCGGCAUUUUAGCUGACGUCACUCUUACGUGCAUAUUCAUAUUUGUAAUUCUGUUUGCCACUGCAUCUUACAUCUACGACCAUCACUCAGAUCAUUUUCCUUUUUUUAUUGAGAUGGAGUUUUGCUCUUUUUGCCCAGGCUGGAGUGCAAUUGCAUGAUCUAGGCUCACUGCAACCUCUGCCUCCCCAGUUCAAGGGAUUCUCCUGCCUCAGCCUCCUGAGCAGCUGGGAUUACAGGUGUGCACCACCACACCCAGUUAAUUUUUUAUUUUUAGUAGGCACAGGAUUUCACCGUGUUGGCCAGGCUAGUCUCGAACUCCUGACCUCAGGUGAUCCAUCUGCCUCAGCCUCCCACAGGGAUUACAGACGUGAGCCACCGCACCCAGCCCUAUGUUGCCUAGGCUGGUCUUGAACUCCUGGGUUCAAGUGAUCCUUCCUCCUAGGCCUCCAAAAGUGUCCCAAAAGUUCUUUAAGAAGGCCUGCCUAUUUGUGCGUGGUAGUAUGUAUCCUACAGCUUUCUCAUCACUGCGACUGUGUGACUCCUCUAAACACCUCCUACAUACCUGUCCUCUCACCUGGAUGGGGAGUUUCGGGAUCUGAGUUCUGGCCGACACCAGCUGCCCUCAGUCAGCCGACUCCCCUUGUUUGCUUGGAGAUCUUUGACUGCAAGCUGAAUGCCUGAUUUAUGAGCAGGGCUGAGGCUCAGAAGGGCAAGUUCCUUCAGGGGACAGGUGCUUUGACCUCUGCGGGCACCUGGAAGGUCACCUUCAGCUGACCCGAGGGUCCUGGCUCAGCAUGGGAGACAGGCUCAUCUUCCCACCUCACCACUGGCCCAGGAGUCGGGGGUUAGUUAACUGUGGGGCCGCCAAAUCUGCCCCUACAGGCUUCACAACCCUAAGUUAAUGCAUUUUAACAAAAUCAGUGCCUGUAAGAGCCAUGAAAGCAAUGCGGCUGUCUUGGAAAUGGCAGCGACAGGCCCAGAAUUCUUCCCAGUCAAGCCUUACCUGGAGCAGAGAACUGCAGGAGGCAGUUCCAAGCCACAGCCAGACCGGGGCAGUCAGGAAGGGGGUGCCCAGAGAGGGCGUGGAAGUCUUCCGCCCUCCCCUGUGCCUUGUGGGGGAAUCUCUGUAGUCGUGCCCCAGGACCCUUGGCCAGUGGGUGGCUCACAUUUCCCUCAGUCAUCCCAAGAAACUCAAAACCACUGUAAGGCCGGAUGCCUCAUCAGGAGCCCGGACAGCCACCCAGCUCUGCACCCAGUACCCAGCUCUGCACCCAGCCUUCCAGUUGGGAAUUCCGGUUGAUGCAACCCUAACCAUAUCUUGCACCAAAAAACCCGCCCGACAACCUGCCAAUCAAUAACGGCCCAAUCCCGCUCCCCCAGAGCCAAUCAGAGCACCCAGCUCUUGUUCAUUCCUCAUAGCCGCAAAAACCCCACGCCCCAGGAAGUCAGUGUGACUUCUCUGUCCCCCUUUCUCUGGACCAUACAACCUUGCCCAGGAGCUGAAUAAACUGGCAUUUAAUUUUCUUAUACUGGCUUCAGUUUCUUCAUUUUAAACUUGGCAGUAACCCUUACAAGUGGUGCUGAAACCUGGGAGCAGUUCAAGACCCCUCCUGGGGAAACUGACUCCUGCACCCUAAGCUGAACCAGGGAGCCGCCACCCCUCCAAUUGUCUGCAGCCAUCACUCGCCAUUGAGAAACGCCUAGGGUCAUCUUCCACCAAGCCUACUGCUUACACCAAAGAAUUCCGCUACCUCACCCAGGCUUACCACCUCACCUGCCAUGGUACCUGUGUGAUUCUGUCCUCCACCCUCACCCCAGACGAGUGAGACCGCAUCCUUAUGGCGGCCCGGGCACACGCUGAUCAGGUACAUCUCACAAUCAGAUGCCAGUAGGUGGGGCAGCGGUCCCCAAGGUCGACCCUAAUUGGAAUUAUCAAACUGGUCAGGAUGGCCACCGCUGCUGAGACCAAAUGCUACCGUGCCUCGCAGGCAUGCAAAGCACAGCCCAAAAGGUAGUUAAUUAUGAUAAGUUGAGGGAAAUAACUCAGGGUCCCGAUGACAACCCAGCUGCCUUCCUUGACCAAUUAACUAAUGCUAUGAUCCUCUAUACCCGGCUAGAUCCAGCCUCCAUAGCAGGGGGCUACAGUCCUAGCCACCCAUUUCAUCUCUCAGUCAGCGGCUGACAUUAGAAAGAAACUUAAAAAGGCUGAGGAGGGCCCCCAAACUCCCAUACGAGACCUGGUAAACAUGGCAUUUAAAGUUUUUAAUGGCCGAGAGGAAAAGGCUGAGGCCACCCUCCAGGCCUGUCUACAGCAAAAGGUAAGCCUCCAAACCCAAGCUCUUGUGGCAGCCCUGAAGCCGGCAGCCCACCAGGCGCCUGGUGGAGGGGGUCCAUCAAAACCUGUCAAGAACUCCGGAGGCAUUCCGCCUGGGCCCUGUUUCAAGUGCGGUCAGGAGGGACACUGGGCACGUCAGUGUCCAUGUCCCUGACUACCUACCAAGCCCUGCCCAGACUGCAAGCGGCUGGGACACUGGAGCAGUGAUUGACCGUCCCGGACUACAGGCCCACCCCCCACACCUCUAUGUGGAGGGCAGGCUGGUCCGUAGGAAGCAAUCCCAUUGCUUGAACUUCUCAGCCUUCUGGACAACUGACGCAGCCCGGACUUGAAGACACCCAUCACCCUUGCUGAGCCCAGGGUAGCGCUGCAGGUAGCGGUUCUCGACCUCGAGGACGCCUUCUUUACCAUUCCCCUCCACCGAGUCCUGCUUUCUCUUUGCCUUCACCUGGACUGAUCCUGACCAACCUGUCACAACAGCUCACCUGGACGGUCCUGCGUCAGGGGUUUCGAGACAACCCCCACAUUUUUGGACAAGCCUUGGCAGCCGACCUUCGCUCCUGCCCCCUUCAACCCAGUCUCCUCCUCCAGCACGUGGAUGACCUGUCACUUUGUAGCCCCUCCCUCUCCCUCUCCCAGCAGCAUGCUGCCACUCUCCUUAACUUUCUCCGAUCUCAGGAUACCGAGUAUCUCCCUCCAAAGCACAGUUAUCAGUCACCUCGGUGGUCUACUUGGGCAUUUGCCUCACCCCCAAAACUAAAAGCCUAACGACAGAUCGCCAGAAAGCACUUCUUUCACUGCAGCCCCAGGAGACUGACCAGAUUCUCUUCUUUUUAGGAUUUGUAGAAUUUUUCAGCCACUGGGUACCUAACUUUUCCUCUCUAGCUAAACCUCUGUAUGUGGAAGCUAAGGACACCCCCACGGGACCUCUCUCCCAUGCUGAGGUUGUAAAAUGGGCUUUUAAAACCCUCCGAACUGCUCUGUCCACUGCACCCCCACUUCAUCUGCCAGACCUCAAUCGCCCCUUUUGUCUGUUCACUGAUGAGAAACAGGGCGUUGCUGUCGGGGUUCUAACCCAACCCCUUGGUCUUGUGUUCCACUCUGUAGCCUCCUUAUCGAAGCAACUUGACCCCACGGUCAGGGGUGGCAGCCUUGCCUGCGGGCCCUGGGAGCAGCAACGGAACUUACCAAGGAAUCCCUAAAACUGGCCCUGGGCCAGCCCAUCUCAGUGUUCUCUCCUCACGGGCUUACCGACCUCCUCUCCCACAAAUCUCUCCCUCACCUAGGGCCCUCUCAUCUGCAGGAGUUCCACCUGCUCUUCAUUGCAAAUCCCUCAGUCAGCCUUCACCCCACUUCCCCACUCAACCCUGCUACUUUGCUUCCUCUCCCAUCCCUUCCCCCUUCCCUAGUUCACUCCUGCCCUGAACUAAUGGAUGCACCUGCCAAACCUCGGGAGGGCCUAUCCGACCUUCCCCUGCCUAACCCAGACCUUACCUUCUAUGUGGAUGGAAGUUCAGUAACAACAGCCGACGGGAGGUGAAAGGCAGCCUGUGUGGUACUCACAGAUUCAGCCACCCUCGAAGCACGUCGUCUCCCUGAUGAAACCACAUCAUAAAAGGUGGAGCUCAUUGCCCUAACCCGAGCUCUCACACUAGCACAGGGAAAGCGAGCAAAUAUCUAUAUUGACUCAAAAUAUGCCUUUCUUAUUACCCAUUGCCACUCUGCCCUCUGGAGAGAGAGGGGAUUCCUUACCCCAAAACAGUCCCCCAUAAUCAAUGCUACACAGAUCUCCAACCUUUCCCAGGCCUUAUCACUGCCCAGGGAGGUUGCAAUCAUACACUGCCGAGGACACCGGGCCCAGCAUGAUGCCGUCUCCCGGGGCAAUGCGUGGGCAGACACAGCAGCAAGAUCUUUAAGGCCAAGUUGACCCCCUACCCCGUUCUCUUCCUUACCACGGCCACACAGCCUGUAUACUCACCAUCAGAAAAACAGGACCUCAUACUGAAAGGGGGAACAGAAUCUAAUCGGGGCUGGAUCUUCCUAAAUAAUAGAAUCGCCCUUCCCGGGAACAGGCCCCUAAAAUUACUGCUGAAAUCCACCAAUCCUUACAUAUGGGGCCUAAGACGUUAUACCGCUUUGUAUAGCCCCUCCUUUUCUCACCAGGUCUGCAACAAACAACUGGGCAGGUACACAAGGCAUGUGUUACUUGCUCUAAGGUCUCGCCUCAGGGAGGCUUAAGGCCACAGUUUCCUACCCACCAAAUGUGGGGCAACCUACCGGCCCAAGACUGGCAAAUUGACUUCACUCAUAUGCCCACUCACAAAAAGCUCAGCUACCUCCUAACUUUCGUAGAUACCUUUUCAGGUUGGAUUGAAGCCUUCCCCACCUCCCGGGAGACAGCAGACACGGUGGCCUCCCUCCUUACUCAAGAAAUCAUCCCUUGCUUCGGCCUACCUGCCACCAUCCAGUCGGACAAUGGUCCAGCACUUACGGCCCAAGUAGUCCAGCUAGUUGCCAAGUCCCUCAGCAUCUCCUGGAAACUACACAUCCCUUAACAUCCUCAGUCGUCAGGUAAAGUUGAACGGGCCCACAGCAUCCUCAAAGACCAUCUGGCCAAACUUGCUAUUGAGGUAAAACUCUCUUGGCCCACACUCCUACCUCUUGCCCUGGCCUGGGUCCAGGCCACCCCACAGGGGCCAAUGGGCCUGAGCCCCUCUGAAUUGCUGUACGGCCGGCCUUUCCUGGUUUCCCAUAAUCUCCCUGUAAAACCGCCCCCACUGGCUUCCUACCUUCCCUUCCUCUCCUCCGCCACCUGCUUAGGGAGCACGCGGACCACACCCUCCCUGUUCCAGGACCGGAGGACCCCCACCCAGCAACACGUCUCCAACCAGGUGACAGCGUUCUCCUCUGAAAGCUCAAACCAGCAUCUUUGCAGCCCAGGUGGUCGGGACCUCACAUUGUUAUCCUAACCACCCCCACAGCGGCCAAACUCCUGGGUCACACUCUGUGGUACCAUGUGUCCCACCUCAAGCUGGCCCCCCAAAAUGACCAGUGGAAAUCCGAACCCCUGGGCCCCACUCACCUCCACCUCACCGUGGCCCCAACCCAUCGCCCCCUAACCCUUCAGAGCCUCCUCCUGACAGUCCUGAUUCUCCUCUUGAGGCCAACUCAUAUGUUUGGCGCUUCUACAUCCAGGAAUCCUGGGCUGAGGUUCCCACCACCAGGACUCACUACAUUGCCCAAGCAGACUGCCAACCCACUGGCUGCCAGUCAGAAGUAACAACUGAGAUCCAAAAAACAAAAACCAAAACUCUACAAAUCGGGUUCUCUGCUCAUGGCCUGUGCUUUCUCUAUGACCAAUACUAUGACUAUUCCAUUGGUGGAACACCACCGCCCAUGUAAUUCUUGUCAUUCAUGUAGCACAGGAAGUUGCCCACAUCUAGGAUCCUUGGGUAAAACAGCAUGUCUUCACCUCCGACAUGUGAGGACCCGGCACCAACUUAACGUAUCACCUUGUUCCAAGUACACCCUCAAAAUUUCUCUCUCUGCCAUGAGACAGCCAGCAGCUCCAGGCCCAGAUUUAACACCACAGUAAAGGUCCGCAUAAGGGAAAUUUCCAGGGUAGCCGUAAACCAGAUGCUACUUCCCCCCAUGUCUGACUCCCAACCGAGGCACCAGCCAACUGACCCUUCUCCACAACUCCGCCCCUAAUCAGCAGGAAGUAGCCUCAUCAGGAGGCUGGAAAGCCAUCCAGCUCUGCACUCAGCACCCAGCUCUGCACCCAGCCCUCCAGUCGGGAAUUCUGGCUGAUGCAACCCUAACCAAAUCUUGCACCAAAAAACCCGACAACGUGCCAACCAAUAGCGGCCCAAUCCUGCUCUCCCAGAGCCAAUCAGAGCACCCAGCUGUUGCUCGUUACUCACAGCCACAAAAACCCCACACCCCAGGAAGUCAGUGCAACUUCUCUGGCCCCCUUUCCCUGGACCAUAGAACCUUGCCCGGGAGCUGAAUAAACUGGCAUCUUUAUACUGGCCUCAGCUUCUUCAUUUUAAACUCAGCAAUAACCUUUACAACCACCACCUUGCUUAAUUCAUGAAGGCUGAGCUUUACUAUAUGCCCUCAAAAA